GUACUGAGAGCUCAAUGAAAUAGCGGGAGGAAGAAGAGGAGAAGGCCUUUAGCUCUGUAUGGAAUCCAGCUUCAAAAGCAACAAGGCAAGGUAUAAAAAUUCUAGCUGACACUUGUGAGUUAAAGCAGUAAUUCCCAUUAAAAAUGCAUUUUGAUGACAUAAUUAAGAUCAAAUAGAGACAGGAAAGGCACGGUUGAGAUAAGUAGAGGGAGAGGUUGUUGGAGGCAGAAAAGGAAAGACUACGAUAAUAUUUUUCUCUAUAUUUUGAGUUUUAGUUGUUAAUAGCCAUGCUCUUGCAAAUAAGGCAGGAAAUAGCGUGUUUGUUUUUUAUUUUUUAAAGUAUUUUUUUAAAAAAUAAAUUUUUGUAUUCUAAAUUAAUUUUUUUAUUUUUAUAUUGCUAUUAAAAAUAUUUUUUAACAAAUAAAAAAAUAUUAUUUUAAUAUAUUUUUAAAAUACAAAUAUAUUUAAAAAAACUACUACUUAUUCAAACACUUAAAAUAAAAAUCUUAAAAUCACAGCAUGAUAAAAGGAGAAGGAAAGGAAUGGGAUAAAGAAGGAAGAAAAUACUAUUUGUUUUUUUACUGUAUCAGAGUGGUUUUUAUAAUUAUAUUUUUUAAUAUUUCUUGUUAUUAUUAUAUAUAUAUAUAUAUAUAUAUAUAAUAUUUUAAUAUGUUUUUAAAUAAAAAAACUAUUUUAAAAAAAUAUGUGUCACAAUACUAAAUUAUACUAUAAAUUAAAAGAUAAAGAGCUUUCUGUUCAUUACUAUUUACCGAGACUUAUUUUAUUGUGGAUGUGGAUAUUAAUAGUGAAUAUUUUUAAAAUUUUCAAUUUGGUAUUUGAAUUAUUAUUUUUUUGCAUAAUUGAAUCUCUUCAUGCUCAAAUUAAAACUCAAUUGCAUUUUUUUUAAGGAUAAGAGUUGAAUUAUAAGAUAGGUGACUAAAAUGAAAAACUCAGUAAAAAUAUGUGGCGACACUGUAAUUGUUUGCAAAGUUCAUUUUAGUCCUGUAUCUUUUAAGAUGUCCCAAUAAUUUCUCAACAUUACAUUUUAUCUAGAAUCUCUGAUUAUGCUCUAGGGACUAUAUUGAAAUUUUCAUAAAUUGAGAAAUCAAACUAAAAUUUCAUCACCUUCAAUCUCAAACCUAGAAUUUUCACAUAUCACCUGCUGAUAUAACAAAAUUUCGAACUCAAAUUCACCAUUUAAACAACCCAUAACUCAAAAUCAUCAUUUUUACUUAAAAACUUUUAAAAUCAACUAAAUAACUCAUUGUCCAUAACAAUGAGCACAUAAUAUUCAAAUCAAUUCAUCAAUCAAACCCAAAACACAAUCUUCAAAACCCUAAUAUUCAACAAAACAGAAAAUUAAAGCUAAGAAAAACACAUUUAUCCACAUCAAAGUGUAAAUAUUCUUACAUUUUAAUUUAUUUUCUCUAACUCUCUUAUCCUUUCUUUAUCUUUUCCUAGUUUCUCUUUUUUUUCUUUCACUCUCACGGUUCUCUAUAAGAUUUCAGAUCUAUCUUUUUUAUUAUUAUUUAUAUUUUGAACUCUUUAUUCAAUUACUACAAUACCGUUCAUUCAUUUAUACCUACUUCUAAGCCUCCAUGGGUUUUGUUGUCUUUUUCUAUUCUUUUUUAUUUUCAAAUCAUUACAAUAAAAUUGUUUUCUUUUCAUUAAGCUGCUAAUUUAUGCAGCUUUAGCUCUUGUUCUCUUUUCAUGUUUAGCAACUCUGAUCUGUUUCUUUUCUUUACAUGAUAUAAGGGCAGGUUCUUACCUCUUGAAGUCUGCUGGAUAAACCUAUAAGCAGAAGAUCCUGAAGCGAUCCCAAAUCACAGCUUCAAUCCCCACCACAACCAAUCUCCUCUUUCCCGUAGUCUGUCGUCCUCAAUUGGGAAAUGAUCUCAAAAAAUCACUUGAUGCAACAAGUAGGGUAGAGAAAUAUAAGACUUCAACAAAGAAUCAAACUCAAAAAAGUUGAAGUAAUUGUCUAUGAGAAGCAUUUCUGUGUCACACACUCAAGUAAUAUGAUUGACCUAUUACAUUAUACAAAUUAAUAAUAAUAAUAAUAAUAAUAAUAAUAAUAAUAAUAAAAGAACUAGGUUUUUGAUGGCAUCCAGAGUGCUGUUACUUUCAAACAAAGAGGCUUGUGCAUGCGGUGUUACGCUGUUCAUGUACGCUAAGAUCUCCUAUGAAUACAAUAAUAUAAUCAUAAAAUUGUAUUAGUUUUAUUAAGCUGUUAAUUUAUGCAGCUUUAGCUCAUGUUCUCUCUUCUUGUCUUGCUAUUCUGAUUUUAUCUUUUUCUUCGCAUGAUAUAAGAGCAGGUUCUUACCUCUUGAAGUCUGCUUCAAUCCCCGUAGUCUUCCGUCCUCAAUUGGGAAAUGAUCCAAAAUCAAC
rnacentral:lncRNA from 1 species